CUGCAUUCAAGACUUGGAUGUAAACGCCAUAUUCGAUGAUUGGAUAAUACUGUUUUUAGGGUUUAUAAAAGGAUUUCCUUCUGAUUGGAUGUUUGGUGCGUUGAUGCUUGGGAUGUGAGCGAGUCGACCCGACCUUCAUGACUGCAGGACAUUUCAUCCAGAUACAGUAGGUGCAAAAUUUAAUGAAGCAAUCAAGGAAGGUGCAAAGCGCAUGUUUGACCGGCCCUUUGCCCCACUGCCCAAACAAAGUCUGCAGACAUAAAGAUACAGAUGGUUUAAAUUUGCAGUGAAAGAAAUGUGUUGGACGACUCGAAGAUGGUGAAAGGGCUUUCUUAACAGGACGUAGGGUAAUUAAAACCCAUGAGGCCGAUCGGCCCGGAGCUACUAGAGGAAAACCUCUCCUGUUUCGGCAUGUGUUCCAAUCUGAUCUCCAUGCUUGUUUAAUACUGAAGCAAUAUUAUACUGCUGCCAACUAAACCUGACAGGCAGACAUCGCAUGUGCUGGAAAUCAGAUGGAAUGACAGCUUUUUUCACACGUAUUUGACAGUUUGAUAGAGGGUGACCAUUUGGUUUGCAUGAAAUAUUAUCUUAAGCGUCUCAUAUUGUAUCCAGUUGUUGGAACUCAGCAGAUGUUCGGUUGUAACCACGCCAAGUCACCAACUGCAGCGUUUUUCAAAGUAAGUUGUGUAAAUGAAUAUGAAUUAAUAUGAAUAUUUAU